rnacentral:misc_RNA from 1 species
UCUUGCAUUGCUGUGUCAGAAGGUAGAGAAUCAUGUAGUUGGCGCUCCUUGUGGAGUGAUGGACCAAAUGACUUCUGCUUGCGGGGAAGCCAAUAAACUGCUUGCCAUGGUUUGCCAGCCUGCAGAGGUCAAGGAACUGGUCGCUAUUCCUAGUCAUAUACGUUUUUGGGGUUUCGAUUCUGGAAUACGUCACAGUGUUGGGGGGACUGAUUAUGGGUCUGUACGGAUAGG